rnacentral:misc_RNA from 1 species
AGUUGUGGUGAUGAUGGUCGGAUUCGAGGAUGGAAGUGGAAAGAAAUGUUGGGAUCUACGGAAUCAGCACAAGGAGGCGUAUCAAAGCCGGUACUUGACUUGGUAAAUCCUCAGAAGAAAGGUCCAUGGGGGGCGCUUUCUCCAAUACCUGAAAAUAAUUGCGUGGCUGUUAAUACUCAGACCGGAUCCAUAUUUGCUGCUUCUGGUGAUUCUUGUGCAUAUUGCUGGGAUGUGGAGACGAAUGAAAUAAAGAUGGUUCUUAAAGGACAUUCGGACUACUUGCACUGCAUUGUUGCGCGAAAUUCUCACAAUCAGGUCAUAACUGGUUCAGAGGAUGGGACAGCACGGAUAUGGGAUUGCAGAACUGGUAAAUGUAUUCAAAUAAUUGAUCCCCAGAAGGAUAAGAAGUUAAAGGAGUUGUAUCCGUAUGUCAGUUGCAUAGCUCUUGAUGCAAGCGAGAGUUGGCUGGCUUGUGGAAGUGGCCAGUCUUUAUCUGUUUGGAAUCUUCCUGCGUGUGAAUGUGUUUCAGGUAUCACGACAAGUGCUGCUACCCAGGAUG